AAUACGAAGGGGGCUAGCGUUGCUCGGAAUUACUGGGCGUAAAGGGCGCGUAGGCGGAUAUUUAAGUCGGGGGUGAAAGCCCAGGGCCCAACCCUGGAAUUGCCUUCGAUACUGGAUAUCUUGAGUUCGGGAGAGGUGAGUGGAAUGCCGAGUGUAGAGGUGAAAUUCGUAGAUAUUCGGCGGAACACCAGUGGCGAAGGCGACUCACUGGCCCGAUACUGACGCUGAGGCGCGAAAGCGUGGGGAGCAAACA
rnacentral:rRNA from 1 species